AUGCCUGCUGCUGUUGGGAAGGUUUGGGCCCCUCCGAAAUGCAAGUUUUUUGCUUGGUUGAUAAUUCAAAACAGAGUAUGGACGGCCGAUCGAUUGCUCCGUCGUGGUUGGCCGAAUUGCAACCUUUGCCCGCUUUGCAAGCAAGUCCAGAAAACUGCGGCGCAUCUUCUCUUCCAGUGUAGGUUCUCCCAGCGUGUUUGGGUUGAGGUUGCUUUGUGGAUUGGCCUACAUGGUGAUGUGGCGAGGAGCUGGAGAUUUGAGGCUUCAGUUCGAGAUUGGUGGAUUAAAAAUGUGAUCGAGCGCGGAAACCAGAGAAAGGCUAUCGCCUCCUUAUUCAUGCUUAUGUCUUGGGAGAUUUGAAAAGAGCGCAAUGCAAGGGUCUUUCGCAACACUGCCGCUACAAGCGUGAUGGUCGUCGCGAAGAUCAAAGAGGAGGCCCAUCUUUGGGCUAUGGCAGGUGCCACCCACUUGAGUAUUGUAAUGCCGCGAGAGUAG
rnacentral:rRNA from 1 species